rnacentral:rRNA from 1 species
GACGAACGCUGGCGGCGUGCCUAAUACAUGCAAGUCGAGCGGAAUGAUGAAGAAGCUUGCUUCUUCUGAUUUUAGCGGCGGACGGGUGAGUAACACGUGGGCAACCUACCUUGUAGAUUGGGAUAACUCCGGGAAACCGGGGCUAAUACCGAAUAAUCCAUUUUGCUUCAUGGCGAGAUGUUGAAAGACGGUUUCGGCUGUCACUACAAGAUGGGCCCGCGGCGCAUUAGCUAGUUGGUAGGGUAAUGGCCUACCAAGGCGACGAUGCGUAGCCGACCUGAGAGGGUGAUCGGCCACACUGGGACUGAGACACGGCCCAGACUCCUACGGGAGGCAGCAGUAGGGAAUCUUCCACAAUGGACGAAAGUCUGAUGGAGCAACGCCGCGUGAGUGAAGAAGGUUUUCGGAUCGUAUAACUCUGUUGUAAGGGAAGAACACGUACGAGAGUAACUGCUCGUACCUUGACGGUACCUUAUUAGAAAGCCACGGCUAACUACGUG